AUGCUGCAUUAUGAGGGUGACACUGAAGUUGAGGACCCAUUUGAGGUAGAGGAAGAUAGGACUUUUGAACAAGAAGAAGAAACUAUAGUUGAACCUGUAAAGAAGAAGCAGAAGCUGCCAGUUAGAAGAGGCCCAACCACUAGGUCACAUUGUAGUGAGCUACCAGAGGUUGAACCUGAUUUCAGACCAUCAUCAGAUGAAGAAGAGGAGGGGUUGUUGAGGGAGAGUGAUGAUGAUGGUUUUCAGCCACUCUCUUUUGUCCUACAAAAGAAAAGGAAGAGUAGGGCAAAGAAAAGGCCUCCUAGGAAGUGGUACAAUGAGAAAAUGGAGCAACCACAUGAGCAACUGUGUAUGAAGUUGUGUUUUAGGGAUCAGCAUCAAUUCAGAGAAGCUUUGUUGAAUUUGCACAUCACCCAGGCCAGGAAUUUCAGGUAUCACAGGAAUUCAGAUCAGAGGAUAAUUGUUGAGUGUACAGAUAAAAAAUGCCAGUUCUUAAUGGUGGCAGCAGUUAUAAAAGGGGAGAAAACAUUUGUAAUUAAGAAGAUGAGACUAGAGCAAACUUGCCCUAGUACCACUGAGACCACCAGGGUUAGUGCUAAGUGGCUAGCACAGAAAUAUGAGCAUCUCUUUAGAUCUGAUAUAACUACUGGUAUUUAG
rnacentral:rRNA from 1 species